AUGGCAUACGAAAAGAAUGCUGAUUUUGGGCAGGGCACGGUGGCUCACGCCUUUAAUCCCAGCACUUUGGGAGGCCGAGGGAGGUGGAUCAGGGGUUCGAGACCAGCCUGGCCAAUGAAACCCUGUCUAUUAAAAAUCAAAAAAAAAAAAAAAAAAAAAAAAAAAAAAAAAAAAAAAAAAAAAAAAAAAAAAAGCAAAUUCACACUUCCUCCGCCAUUUUGUUCUAUUUGAACCUUCCGUGGAUAGGAUGAUGCCCACCUGCGUAAUCUCACAGAUCCAGAAAUGUUUUGCUUAUUAAUCUACCUCAUUCUUUUUUAUCUCCUGCAUAAUAAUCCACAACAUGAAUAUUCACAUUUGACCUCUUGAUAGACAUUUAGGAUGAUGCCAAUUUCUUUUUCUGGUUUUUUGUUUUUUAUUUUUUGUUUGGCUGGAGUGCAGUGGUGCGAUCUCGGCUCACUGCAACCUCUGCCUCCCCGGUUCAAGCAAUUCUCCUACCUCAACCUCCUGAGUAGCUGGGAUUACAGGAGCACGUCACCACACCUGGCUAAUGUUUGUAUUUUUAGUAGAGACGGGGUUUCACCAUGUUAGCCAGGAUGGUCUCCAUCUCCUGACCUCGUGAUCCACCCCUGUCUGUCUCCCAAAGUGCUGGGAUUACAGGCAUGAGCCACUGCAACAGGCCCUCUUUUUCUAUUUAAACAGUGCUUCCAUGAACGUCCUUGUAUGUACCUCCUCCUGUACUCAAUGGUGUUUAUCUGGCACACAUCGCCAAUCAGUGCACUUGCUGGGUUGAAGAAUAUGAGUGUUUUUACCACUCUUUCAGUAAGCUGUACCAGUUUAGACUUGCUCUACCAAUUUAGAUUUCCAUCAGCAAUAAACAAAGACAUUCCUGCCUGGCA
rnacentral:lncRNA from 1 species